rnacentral:rRNA from 2 species
GACGAACCGUGCGAACGUUAUUCGGAAUCACUGGGCUUAAAGCGCGUGUAGGCGGGCCGGCACGUCGGUCGCUGAAAUCCCCCGGCUCAACCGGGGAAGGGGCACCGAUACGACCGGCCUGGAGGGGGGUAGGGGGCGCUGGAACUCACGGUGGAGCGGUGAAAUGCGUUGAGAUCGUGAGGAACGCCCGCGGCGAAAGCGAGCGCCUGGACCCUUUCUGACGCUGAGACGCGAAAGCCAGGGGAGCGAACGGG